UCUUAGCUUGCUAAGGCCGAUGGCGACCGGCGCACGGGUGAGUAACACGUAUCCCACCUGCCGUCUACUCUUGGACAGCCUUCUGAAAGGAAGAUUAAUACAAGAUGGCAUCAUGAGUCCGCAUGUUCACAUGAUUAAAGGUAUUCCGGUAGACGAUGGGGAUGCGUUCCAUUAGAUAGUAGGCGGGGUAACGGCCCACCUAGUCUUCGAUGGAUAGGGGUUCUGAGAGGAAGGUCCCCCACAUUGGAACUGAGACACGGUCCAAACUCCUACGGGAGGCAGCAGUGAGGAAUAUUGGUCAAUGGGCGAGAGCCUGAACCAGUCAAGUAGCGUGAAGGAUGACUGCCCUAUGGGUUGUAAACUUCUUUUAUAAAGGAAUAAAGUCGGGUAUGCAUACCCGUUUGCAUGUACUUUAUGAAUAAGGAUCGGCUAACUCCGUGCCAGCAGCCGCGGUAAUACGGAGGAUCCGAGCGUUAUCCGGAUUUAUUGGGUUUAAAGGGAGCGUAGAUGGAUGUUUAAGUCAGUUGUGAAAGUUUGCGGCUCAACCGUAAAAUUGCAGUUGAUACUGGAUAUCUUGAGUGCAGUUGAGGCAGGCGGAAUUCGUGGUGUAGCGGUGAAAUGCUUAGAUAUCACGAAGAACUCCGAUUG
rnacentral:rRNA from 1 species